ACGGAGGGUGCAAGCGUUGUUCGGAAUUACUGGGCGUAAAGGGCGCGUAGGCGGUAAUAUAAGUCAAAUGUGAAAUCCUCCAGCUUAACUGGAGGACAGCAUCUGAAACUGUGUAACUAGAGUACAGGAGAGGGAAACGGAAUUCCCGGUGUAGAGGUGAAAUGCGUAGUUGUCGGGAGGAGCACCAGUGGCGAAGGCAGUUUCCUGGAAUGAUACUGACGCUGAGGCGAGAAAGCGGGGGGAGCAAACAG
rnacentral:rRNA from 1 species